rnacentral:ncRNA from 1 species
AACCGCCGUAUACCGAACGGUACGUACGGUGGUGUGAGAGGUCGGUAGAUAAAAUAAUUAUCUGCCUCCUACUCGAC